rnacentral:lncRNA from 1 species
AUAUACCACAAAAGAGAGUAUUAAAACAGAGAAAGGUCACAAUAUACUAAAAUAUUGUGUCACUCUUUGUUGUAUGAAAAACCUGGAAAAAAUGAAUACAUGUUAAUUGUGUAAUAAUUGAGUGGAGAUGGGGGCAUAUGGAGGCAAUAGGAUAUUAUUCUGCCAUAAGAAGACAUAAACAUGAGAAAUUCAGCGAUUUAUGGCAAAUCAUAUAAAUGAAAACAAAUCAGAGAAUCAAGAAAACAAUAGAUAACCAUAAUUAGAAAGCAGAGCAACAUGAAAAGGCAUUUGUACUCCAACUAAAUAUAAUGAAUAAUGUAUAAUUAAAAAAAUUUGGACUCCAUCUCCCAUAAUUCUUUUCUUGUCGCAAGAAUCCUUUUCCCCUUUGUUCACAUUUGCAUUUGAUACAUUUGUAUAUAAGUUUUAGCGACUCUUCCCUCUCUUUUCCAUGUGCGAGGCUAGUGCCCUCUCUGUUUCACUAGUCUUUUAUUUUCCUUUUCCUUCAAGAUGUAUUAUUACUAAAUCUUAUAAAUAUAAUAUUUGGAGUAUUAGAUACUAACUUAUAAAAUCUACAAUAACUUUUACCCUGGAGACCAAAUGACAGUGGUGACCAAAUGCUGAAUAUGAGUUUCUCUGUCAGAACUGAUCACUGUAUCAACUGGUCUUGCUUAACUGUAUUUUUUAUAGUUACAAGGGAGAGUUCAAUAGUAGGAUAGGGGAUUAAGAGACCCAUGGUGUCAAAAACAAAGACAACAAACAAACAAACAAAAAGAGCCAACUUUAGAUAAAAUAGAGAAAUAGAUGUAGGUUGUCCUUGGUAUCCUUCCUUUCAGUGACUAACACUCCAACUUUAGGCUAUUCCUUUCUCUAGCAAAAUCUCCCCUCUCCUUACCAUCUAUUAAUAUGCUCUUCUGGCCCCAAAAAGUACUCGGUGCUCCCAGUCCUAUUUGCUCGUUCUCCCUCCCAACCCAUCAAAACUUGCCCUUUCAUUAUCUCAUUUGCUGUUGUAGCUAGAGAAUAAAUGUCAUCCAAAUGUCCUUCUAGUCCA